rnacentral:misc_RNA from 1 species
CAGCUCAAACCCCGCGAGGCCCCACUUUCCAAGACUGAAACGCUCUCGCCGCAGUGUUUUCAACCCAAAUGAACUUCAAAUUUCCCUCAACUUGGCCAAAAUACUCAAGCAGAAAGUGAAAGGCAGAACCAACUAAAUCCCCUUACCAAUAAUUACUAGUCUGGAUAAGGAAGAUCCUAAAAACGGCAAAUCGUUGGUGUGAAAAGCGUUGGUGAGCUAGCUGCAGCUGGCGAGUUUUAGCUGGAGAAGUCAGACCAAGUAACAGGCACGACCAGUUUCUCUGCAAUUAAACAAUAAUUCAAAAAGCGUCUGUUAAUAGUGGUAGUGUAGAAUCCGAUUCUCACAUAUUUUCAUCUUUCCAAUAGGUUCCCUCUCCGUCUCCAUCUUUCAUCUAAUUUCUCCUUCGUUUUCUCUCUCGCUCUCUCUCUCUCUCAGUGCGUGUCUGUUUAUGUGGGUGGAUGUGCGUGUGUCAAGGAUGAGCUUGGUCUCCGUUCAAUACAACCAGCAGCCAUGAUUCUACCGUCCCAACCCCAACACCUCCGCCUCUCUACUUGCCACCGCCAUCCGUCCAAACCCAUUACCGGUUUCUGCGCCUCCUGCCUCCGCGAACGCCUCGCCGGCAUUGACCCUGACACCCACCAGGAAACCCCCAUCACCUACCUCGCUGCUGACCUCCGUCGCAGCAAAUCAUUUUCAAGCAGCUCAAAUCCCAAUGCCUCCUCCAGCUCCACUAGUACCACAAACACCUCCGAGCCGCGCCGGAAGUCCUGCGAGAUAAGGGCUCGAAACUCUCUCUCCGAUCUCUUUCAUCUUGAUGACAAGAGAAGAUACAGCUUGAAUAGGAAGCCAAAGGGUUUGGCUUUGGGACUUGAAUUGAAAGAAGAGGUGGAAAAUGGGGUUGAAAUUAGGAUUUCAGAGGAGGUUUCUGCACCAAAUGUGAAUGCUACUGGAAGAAACAUAGACGAUUUUGAAGAGGAUGGAGAGUUUAAGACAAUGAAGGAAUUUAUAGAUCUUGAAUGGGAGCGAAAGAAAAAUGCAGGUAGAGAUUUAAGGGACAUUGCAGGGAGUUUUUGGGAGGCAGCUUCCGUAAUUAGGAAGAAUUUAGUGAAAUGCCAGCUAAAGCAGAAGAAAGACAAGAAGGAAAAGAAACAUGUUAUUGUUGAUGGUGGAGAUGGUAAUUUGGUAGUAGAUGUUGAGAAGCAGAGUGUCAGAAGAUUAAGAGAGACCCAAUCGGAGAUUGGAGAGUACGGGUUUGGGAGGAGAUCUUGUGAUACUGACCCAAGAUUAACAGUUGAUGUGGCUAGGCUGUCUGUUGAUGAUGCACGGUAUUCUUUUGAUGAGCCCAGGGCUUCCUUGGAUGGGUAUCUGAUUGGCAAAACAUACCCACGGCUUGCUCCAUUGGUUUCUGCUAUAGAUGAUUCGAAGUUACCUGCUAAUGGGAUUGAGAAUCUGAAAGAGAAUGUGGACUUGAAGAAUGAAGGGGAGAGUAGCCCUGGAGGCACUGCUCAGACUAGGGAUUAUUACUCUGAUAGGAGGAGGAGAAGAAGUUUUGAUCGCCUAGGUUCAAAUAGGAGACUGACAUUAGGGGAUGAUGAGCUCAAAUCAAUAUCCAAUGCCAUGGUGUCUCCUGAAACGGUUGGGUUAUUCCAUGGGGCAAAGUUGUUGGUCACAGAGAAAGAAUUGAGGGAUUCAAAUUGGUAUUCACUUAAAGAUUAUCAUGCAGGGAGUACAGAUGCUUUUUCUAAGGACGUGGAUUCUGUUGCUGGCAGGAUUAGCAAAAAGGGAUUCAAAUUCACGAAGUUGCAGAGGUGGCGUAGCGUGUUGAAUGUUUGGGCUUUGAUGCAGCGGAGGGUUGAGGGCAAAUGUGGGAACGAGGAAAGCAGUAUUGGUGGAAAUGCGGUAGAUAGGCCAGUAGCAGAGUCUUGGCAUGAGUUGGGAGGGGUGGCCAAUGUGGAGGCAAAUGGGACUGUUAGCCAGAAGCUUAUAAGGAGUUAUACUGUUAGUGCUAGGGAUUCCAGCAAAAUGGGCUGUAGUGCGAGUAGUAUUGAGACCAAGGAAGAUGUUAUGAAGAGAAGGGAAGACCUUGUACUGCAGCGAAACCGGAGUGUGCGGUAUUCUCCAAACAACCUUGAUAAUGGCCUUUUAAGGUUCUACUUGACUCCACAAAGGAGUUAUGGAAGAAGCAAAUCUGGAAAGAGUAGGCUACAGAACUCAUGCUCUAUGGCAAGGAAUGUUUUGUAAAGGUGCAUUAAUUGUUCUUGAAUGGAAUGUGAUGUUGUAAAGACAUGGCUUAAUGUGUUUCUCCUGAUUCUAUAGAUAAAAAACACAUCAUAUUUAUCACCUGUUUUCUCUGCUUAAUUCCUGUUUCUAAUAAUGCAGCAAUGAUAAUUUGAAAGUAUUUGUUUUUGCGCAAUUUGAAUUCAAUAAUGAUGCUUUCCAAGCAAUAUAGAUGGUAUAUUUUUUUAUGGCAAUCCUUGCAUAUUGAAUUGAAGUAUUAUGAAUUAGUUUUUGGU